CGGCCGUCGGCUGGGCAUCACCCUGGGAUACGCCACUACCCUUGUGUGCUGCAGACACCACCAACACCACCACUACCACUACUGCCACUCCCUCUUCGUGCACGCUGGACCCUUCAUAAAUUCUGACGGCCGCCCGGGGUUGUCGAGAUCAAAGGACGAGGAGGCGCAAAGAUGACGCAAGAUGGUGUUUCCGAAGAGCAGUGACAGACGACGGUGAUGAAGCCUCCGAGGAACUGCAUGUGGUGUAUGGUGAUCGUGGUGGUGAUAGUGGUGAUGGUGGUUAGGAGCAAUAUUGGUGAUAGUAAUGGUGAUUGUAGUGGUGAUAGGUCGUUAGGAGCAAUAUUGGUGAUAAUAAUAGUGGCAGAAUUGGUGAUCGUGGUGGUGAUAGUGGUGAUGGUGGUUAUGAGCAAUAUUGGUGAUAGUAAUGGUGGUAGAAAUGGUGAUCGUGGUGGUGAUAGGUCGUUAAGGGCAAUACUGGUGAUAGUAAUGUGGUAGAAAUGGUGAUCGUGGUGGUGAUAAUGGUGAUGGUGGUUAUGAGCAAUAUUGGUGAUAAUAAUGGUGGUAGAAAUGGUGAUGUUAAAGGUUAGGUUGACAGUGACUAUUAAUGAAUUUUGGUGAUAGUGGUGGUGAUCAGGAAUGGUGGUAGAAGUAGUGGUGUUGAAAGGUUCAGUUGAUAGUGAUGAGUAAAUUUUGGUUAUGAGUGUUGUUGUUGGUGGUGAUGGCAGAGGUAGUAACAGUAAUGGCGCUAACAAUGGUGACUGAGGCGAUGAUAACAUAAUAAUAACAACACUAAAACAAAAGAAACACGAACAAUAACGAAUAAUGAAUAACUGAAUAACAACAA